AGAGUUUGAUCCUGGCUCAGAUUGAACGCUGGCGGCAUGCCUAACACAUGCAAGUCGAACGGUAACAGGCCGCAAGGUGCUGACGAGUGGCGGACGGGUGAGUAAUACGUAGGUAUCUGCCCUGGAGUGGGGGAUAACCCGGGGAAACUCGGGCUAAUACCGCAUACGCUCUUUUAUCGUUGAGAUAGGAGAGGAAAGCGAGGGACCGAAAGGCCUCGCGCUAGAGGAUGAGCCUACGCCCGAUUAGCUAGUUGGUAGGGUAAAGGCCUACCAAGGCGACGAUCGGUAGCUGGUCUGAGAGGAUGGCCAGCCACACUGGGACUGAGACACGGCCCAGACUCCUACGGGAGGCAGCAGUGGGGAAUAUUGGACAAUGGGGGAAACCCUGAUCCAGCGAUGCCGCGUGGGUGAAGAAGGCCUGCGGGUUGUAAAGCCCUUUCAGUGGGAAAGAAAAACGGGGUGUGAACAGCGCUUCGUCUUGACGUUACCCACAGAAGAAGCACCGGCUAACUCCGUGCCAGCAGCCGCGGUAAUACGGAGGGUGCGAGCGUUAAUCGGAAUUACUGGGCGUAAAGGGCGCGUAGGCGGUUGGGUAAGUCGGGUGUGAAAGCCCUGGGCUUAACCUGGGAAUGGCAUUCGAGACCACCUAGCUAGAGUCUGGUAGAGGGAAGUGGAAUUUCCGGUGUAGCGGUGAAAUGUGUAGAUAUCGGAAGGAACACCAGUGGCGAAGGCGACUUCCUGGACCAAGACUGACGCUGAGGCGCGAAAGCGUGGGGAUCAAACAGGAUUAGAUACCCCAGUAGUCC
rnacentral:rRNA from 1 species